AUGCAGGAAAACAAGGACAUCUUGCAGUUUCGUAAAUGUGGUCCUGAAAAUCUGAACCAAAUGAGCAUCAUGUAUGAGAAGAUCAAUGUUACAGGAGAAACUUCUAUGAUGCCAGGUGGUGAGCAUGAAGUGCUUGAUCUUGAAGAAGAUGAAACCGAGGAGGAAGAAGUGCAGACUACCCAAGCCAAGAAGGCAAAGAAAGGGCCAUUGAAGAUAGAUGGAAGUUCUAGUAAAAAGAAUCCUGUUCAAAGGGACUUCAAGCGCAUGGUUGACCACUUGAUUAGUGAAGAUGUCGCGAUGAACUCACAUAAGAAUAGUGUUGCUGCUGAAAUUGAAAAGAUAAUGGAAGAAGUUGUGGCAUGUGGAGCCAAUGAAGCAAGUGAUGAGUACUUCAUAGCAAUCAAGUUGUUUGUGAAGUUUGAAAAUCGUUGUUUCUUUAACAAUAUGAAGACUAGCGACGGGAAGAAGAAUUGGCUUAGGAGGAUGUAUGAAGAGCGAAAUAGGCAUUAG
rnacentral:rRNA from 1 species